rnacentral:lncRNA from 1 species
CACUCAAUCCACUGAAAUCUUAGACGAAGAGCUCUUCCCUUUCGUCUUCCUCCGCUACUGCAGCCAACGAGGUAGAGUUCCGGCGGUUGCUAAAUGCUUAAAUAAGUGUUACUAAAUUAGCACCACUCUUUUUAGGUUAUAGCGAUACUCUUUAACUAUCACUAUAUACCUAGCGACCCCAUAUAUAGCAACACUUUUUAAAAGUGUCGGUAAUUUAGCCGGCAGCACUUUUAAUUUUUUGACCUGUACCGACAUUUAAAAGUGUCGCUAUAGACCGUAUUUGUUAUAGUGUAUAUAGGUUGGCCAAAUCCUAUUCCUAAUUCAAGUCAAAGUUUGACUUGAAUUAGGAGUAGUGCGUAGGAAACCGGCAGAGUCAAUUCACUUCCAGCUAGAAUUUGGAAUCCACUAAUAGGAAUUUUCAUGAUAUCAUGUCUAUUAUUUCAUAGACCAGGUGUAUAGACCAAACAAACAAAAAAGAAAGCAUAAUCUCUAACAUUUUCCAUCUUGACUUUUUUUUUACUUAAUUACUCUCUCUCAUCUUAUUACCCCCUAUUCUUGAGGUAUCUCAUGUAACACACUAGACCAUUGCAAAUUGUGAGGUUCGAGUGUUUGAUUUGUGUUCUGAGCUUUUCUAUCUUUUCUAGAGGGUCGUAGACAGUGUUCCGACCUAUGGCUCGCAUCCCGAGAAUUGAGGUUUAAAACUUAGCGUCGAAAUCUCUAAUGUGAAGAUAGUUGGCUACUCUCGGAUUACAUUUUGCAGAGAAGUGUACCGGUACAACAUUGAUAUUGUACCAUGUUGUACCGGAACAGGUGGUUGUACCGGUACAACAUUGAUGUUGUACCGGUACAAAUGAAAAUGUUCUGCCAACCCGAGGCUCGGGUUUGUGCGUUCGGGGGUGUUGUACCGGUACACUUUUUCGUGUACCGGUACACUUUGCCAGACUGCAGUCUACUUGUUCUUGAGGGGUGUUUCUGCAAUUAUUGCUUCUCUAUUUAGUCCCCACGCCUCUCUAGGUUUCUCUGAGCUGAGAAACAUAGGAGACAAGUUAGGAGAGCCUCUCUCUCCCCCUCUUUGGAUUUUAUCUCCUUUUUGCUUGGAUUUUGGUGGAUUAACCCUCUCUUUUUGCUUCUUGGUGCAACUUCCACCUUUGGAGAAGCUAAGGAGCUUGGUUUGAGGCUUGUGGAGGAGAGAUCUUCAACCAUUGUUGGGGUUGAGCAUUGAUUGAAGCUUUUAAGAGGUUGGUAUCAUCUUUUUUCCUCUAGAUUCAAGUUUUGAUGGAUUAUAUUAGAUGGAACCCUAUAAAUGUAUUGGGGAUUUUGGAUUUAGGACUUUUGGAGCUCAAUUGCUUGGAUUAGAAUCUUCCUCUAGGUGGGAUUGGAGGGUCCUAACUCCCAUUUAGAGAUCGAGAGAGACUAUCACCAUCAUAGAUGAGUUUUGCCCCUUUUUUUUUUUGAAUUGGUUAAUGAUCGACCUUAGAGAUGCUCAUAAUGUUCGUUUAAUUCUCCUUUUAUUACCUUUAGGGUGUUAGGAGAAUAGUGGACAACCUCUUUCGACGAAACGAAGGGUUUCGAGGAGACUUGGUAGGUUUGGCCUCAGCAAAAUAAGAUAAAAUUCUCAUAUGAUGAUCAUAUUUGUCGUAAAAUAGAAUUUCAUGCAAAUUCAUGCUAGAUGGAAUAUUUGUGAAUUUUAGAAUACUUAAUAUGCAUAUGUUAUGUAUAAUGCACAUUUGGACCUCUAUGUAGUAGAGAGCUAUUCAUGUUGGAAUCAUGCAUAUGGUUAGCAUUCUUAUACUUGGAUUGGGAUCAUGUUUAAUUUAGUGAAAAUGAUAAGUACAUUGUACACUUGGACUUAGAACUCGUGCUUGGCAUAGGAGUGAGCUAAUGUCAUAAAUUGGCAUUGGGCUUGGCAUAUGUAUGGACUUAGUGAGCUAAUAUCAGAAAGGGGCAUUGAGAUUGGAAUGUGCUGGGGACAUAGUAAAAUCUAGUAUCAUAAAGAGGCAUUAGUGUUGGAACAAGAUUUGGACAUAAUGAGAUAUAAUGUCAUAAAAGGGUAGCGGACAUAAUGAACGGUUAAACCUUCACUUUGAGACAUAAAACUAGACCGUUGGGUUGCUAGUGACUAUUAUCAUGUUGGAUAUAAUGCCAUAAAGGGGCAGCAGACAUAAUGAACGGUUAAACCUUCACUUUGAGCCCCUUCGUUCACUAGGCAAAUGAUAUCGUAAAAUCAUAAAAUUUAUUUUCUAAGUACUUCAAAUACUCUAGAUCAAGUUUAACGGAGCCGAUCGACGAUUCGUAAGUCGCAACAUCGAAAACGAGCUGGAAGCACGGAAGGCUCCGUACUUCCGAUAGCAUAGUAGCCUCACUCUAUAUAUAUAUAUAUAUAUAUAGUAGGUCUUGUGUGCUAUUAGGAGCACAGAGGCCUCCGUGCUCCUAAGCCGUUUUCGAUGAUGGAGCUUCCAAAUCGACGAUCGGCUCCGUUAGACUUGAUCUAGCAUAUUUGAACUAUCUAGAAAAUAAUUUUUGUGAUUUUUCGGUAUCAUUUUUCUACGAUCUAAAGGGUUCA